rnacentral:lncRNA from 1 species
ACCGCAAGUGCACAGGUCGCGUUCAAGUAAUAAAGUGGACCUUUUGAGUCCAAGUAUCGUCCCACAGAGAUUGUAUUAGUUUAAAUUUAACUUAUCUAUGCCUUAACCGAAACAAUAGAAAUUCUUGAUAUUUUCGCUAACUAAAUUAUAAUUUUACAACCUACUUAUAAAUAUAAAGUCUAAAUUAACUAAAUUAAAUGCGUAAUUAUAACUAAAUGCAAGUUUUUUAUAAAAAUAUGAUAACGAAAUGCGUACUAGGAUCCCGAAUCCCCUUAUAUCAAUCCCUUUAAUCCGAAUUUUAUAAAAUUGACAACACGAUUCAAUUAUGAAGACCAAUAUUCCUAAUUUGUUUAACAAUCUCUUUCGAGUAGAGUUAAACCUAUUUUUACAUGUGACCCGACUAUAUUUCUAUGACGAAUACGAACAUAUAAAAAUGCAUUAAAGAUUUAUGAAUACUUAAAGAUCACGUAAAGCAUAGCGGUAUAUUUCUAUCCCCUAUCGGACUUUACGACAAUUAACAUAAUGUCUAACUUAUUUUCCAUCUCUCGAGGGUAAAACAAGUCACAAAUCUCAUACAACUAUUGCGCACAUAAUUGUAGAGAAAAUAAAAUACAUGCAAAUCAUUCAAUAAUUAAAAACAUGUUUUAACGUCAAAUGAAUAAAAUUCAAGAUUAAUGAUUCAUAAUAUAAGGUUCAUCGCAAAUCCUAGCACGAAAAGAUCUAGCCUAACAUAACGGCAAAAUUAAGUAAAUAAAAGUGGAACGACAUCACCAAUAAUUGACGAAACGUGAUCAACAUCCAAAUUCCUUUUACAAAGAAAUCUGAAAUUAUUCCUUCAACAGCUUGCUGUCCAUCUUUGUAUCUGCCGUCUGCAUGUAUACAUUUCUCUAUUUUUCUCCAACAGCCACCCACUUUUAUUGCCAAUGAAAGAGUCCAAUUCCAGCCUUCUUUAUGUUCCUUUUAAUUCCUUCAGCUGCUUCGACUUUCGUGGGAAUUAUAUAUGUAAUUCAGCUUGCACCCAACCAGUUAAUUCCACACAGCUAGCCGUCUUUAUCGAUUCAGCAACUUAAUUCCCCAGCUGUUUCAAUCUCUCCCCAAGCAGCCUGCUUCAUGUGGGAAUUAUAUAUGUAUAAGAAUCAGAUUUGAGCCCACCAAUUAAUUCCCCACCUGCUGGCCGACAAUCACAAUUCAACCACGCAAUCUAUCGGCUUUAUGUGGGUGAGUAUAUAUAUAUAAUUUAACUUUUGCAGCCCACUAAUUCACCCCCACAAACUUCUCAAUUGUUUUGGUGGAAGAAUUCCCUUUUUUUUUAAAUCCCAGCAGCCGGCCAACUUUAUAUAUUCCGCCACUCAAAUUUUCCGACUUCACCAAUCUGCCGUUUUCUAUGUGUUUGUCUUCCUCCCCUUUUCUCUCGGCUGCAUGUGUAUAUAUACAUCAACAAUAAAAAACCCUUAUUCUGUAUACAAAUUAGAAGCCCAAGUCCAAUAAGUUUUGUGUACUCGAUUCUUUCGUGUAAUGCAAGUUAGUCCUUCUCUUCAUUCUCUCCUCAAUUUUGAUCCUCCAUCUUUUAUUCCGCGAGUUUUGUC